AUACGUAGGGUGCAAGCGUUAAUCGGAAUUACUGGGCGUAAAGCGUGCGCAGGCGGUUUUGUAAGACAGAGGUGAAAUCCCCGGGCUCAACCUGGGAACUGCCUUUGUGACUGCAAGGCUAGAGUGCGGCAGAGGGGGAUGGAAUUCCGCGUGUAGCAGUGAAAUGCGUAGAUAUGCGGAGGAACACCGAUGGCGAAGGCAAUCCCCUGGGCCUGUACUGACGCUCAUGCACGAAAGCGUGGGGAGCAAACAGGAUUAGAUACCCUGGUAGUCCACGCCCUAAACGAUGUCAACUGGUUGUUGGGUCUUCAUUGACUCAGUAACGAAGCUAACGCGUGAAGUUGACCGCCUGGGGAGUACGGCCGCAAGGUUGAAACUCAAAUGAAUUGGCGGGG
rnacentral:rRNA from 1 species